rnacentral:snoRNA from 1 species
AUCCUUUUGUAGUUCAUAAAUGUGAUGAUUGGGUUUUCACACUCAUGUGAGAUGUGCUUCCCUCAAACCUUGUUACGAUGUCAUGAUA